GAUGAACGCUAGCGGCGUGCUUAACACAUGCAAGUCGAGCGAAGCACUUUUACGGAUUUCUUCGGAUUGAAGUGAUUGUGACUGAGCGGCGGACGGGUGAGUAACGCGUGGGGAACCUGGCCCAUACAGGGGGAUAACAGUUAGAAAUGACUGCUAAUACCGCAUAAGCGCACAGAACCGCAUGGUUCGGUGUGAAAAACUCCGGUGGUAUGGGAUGGCCCCGCGUCUGAUUAGGUAGUUGGUGAGGUAACGGCCCACCAAGCCGACGAUCAGUAGCCGACCUGAGAGGGUGACCGGCCACAUUGGGACUGAGACACGGCCCAAACUCCUACGGGAGGCAGCAGUGGGGAAUAUUGCACAAUGGGGGAAACCCUGAUGCAGCGACGCCGCGUGAAGGAAGAAGUAUUUCGGUAUGUAAACUUCUAUCAGCAGGGAAGAAAAUGACGGUACCUGACUAAGAAGCCCCGGCUAACUACGUGCCAGCAGCCGCCGUAAAAC
rnacentral:rRNA from 1 species